AGUAGUAGUAGUAGCUGAAGCUGAAGAAGAAGCAAUGGCGUAUUCAACGAAGAAGGGUUUGCUACUGUACAACGUAUAUAGAACCUUAACCUACGCUCUCUCGCCGCUGAUUCGGCUCCACUUGAGGUGGCGCAUUUCCCGAGGCCUCGACCACCGUUGCCGGUGGCCGGAGCGACUCGGUCGCCCUUCCCUACCACGGCGACCGGGACCUCUGGUGUGGUUUCACGCUGUGUCAUUAGGAGAAGGAAUGGCGGCGGUUCCAGUGAUCAGAGAGUGCGUUCGGAAGAUGCCGAACGUGAACGUGUUGAUGACAAUCACUACUAUGUCUGCGUUUGAAGUAUUAAGGAACUGGCUGCCAAGUGAAAUCAUUUUUCAGUUUUCUCCACUUGAUACACCUAGUUCCAUUGAUUCAUUCCUUCGUUACUGGAAACCAAAAGCUAUUAUACUGAUGGAAAGUGAACUCUGGCCAAAUCUUAUCAUGCAUGCUUCCCAAAAUGGUAUAACACUGGCAUUGUUAAAUGCUCGGAUGUCUGAAAAGUCCUUUGAAGUUUGGUCAAGACCAGUGCUUCUACCCCUAAUUUCAUUGAUGUUAUCCAAAUUUUCCUUGAUUGCUCCAUUGAGUACAGAGCAGGGCAUCCGGUUCCAGCUACUGCAAGCUCCUCCUGCUAUCAUAAGCUUUUCUGGUGAUUUAAAGUACGUAAUAGAAGAUUUUGGAGUCAAUGGAAGAGGGGGGAAAAGUAUAGAUGAUCUGAGAUUACAGCUUGCUCACAAACAGGUUUGGAUGGCUUCUUCCAUUCAUAGGGGAGAAGAAGAAAGUUUGAUUGCAGUAAUAUUAGGAGUUCACACUACCCUUAUGCAACUGCAACCUAAUAUAUUGAUUAUUAUUGUCCCUCGUCAUCCACAGCAUGGGCGUGAGAUUGCCAAAAAACUGGAGAAGGAAGGACAAAAUGUAAUUUUGAGGUCCCAACAUAAGAAGCUUAAGCCAGAAACAAACAUAUAUGUGGUGGACACUCUGGGCGAAUUAAGACACUUGUAUAUGUUAACACCAAUCGCUGUGAUUGGGGGUUCAUUCCUCCCUGGUUCAACUGGCCAUAAUAUCUCGGAAGCUGCUUCGGCUGGAUGUGCUGUUUUGACAGGUUGUCAUAUUGGACAUUUCUCACACAUGGUGCUGGAAAUGCAACGAUUGAAUCCAUUGUCAGUCCUUCAGGUCUCUGGAAAAAUGGAGCUUGAAAAAACUCUCAUUCAGCUCUUCACAAAUGCAACACUAUUGGAAGCACAUCGCAAAGCUGCAAAGGAAGCAUUUUCUCGUUUGUCCAGUGACAUUGUCACAAACGUAUGGAAUUUGCUAAAUUCUCGGAUCUUUAGUAAAUUUUCUGCUGAGGAAACUAAAAUUAUAUGAAAAACGAGGAAUACCUAUUUACUAAAUUCAUUUAAUCCCUGCUACAGAGGAAUAAUAAAAUUGCAACCCAUUCCCUAGAAUGAUUGGUUUUUAUUAUCUCAAUAGAAAUUGCUAUAAAUUAUAGAAGAUAAAGUUAAUCAUCCUCUGUUUUUCAUAUUAGCUUCACACUUCUUAAAGCUUUGUAGUUUUCAUCAAAUUUAUUUUGUUUAUAUUAGAAGCUUAUUGCUGUUUAGAACUUGAAGAUCGUAAGUAGGAUGUAACUUUCACUUUCAUUGGAGAGUGGUGGUAUGAUUUUUUAUUUUUUCUUAAAAAAGAGACCUUGAUGAAGUAAAUAAGGACGAGUUUAGGGGUUUGGGAGAUUUACUUGAGGUUCUAAGUUUAGUGUCACCAAUGUAUAAAACAAUUUAUUUGAUAUUGACUGUUAAAUUUAUGCUUCAAAGUUCAAAAGCUUUGAGUUCAUGGGCUGAAUAACAAUCAAAUUUAAGGUGGGCAAUUAUUAGAAGUUUCACAUUGUUUGGAAAUAUGAUCAUAAUCUUUUUUAUAAGUGAUGGACAAAUUUUCACUCCUUGAAUUAAUUUUUGAAGGUGAAUUAGAUUUACUCAUUGAUCAAAUCCAAAUCUAUGAAGGUUUUCUGAACCCUUGUGGAUUAUGGAACCCUGCUCUGGUAGGUAUCUACAUCUAGGUAGGCAGGUGGCACUGAAAUUUACUUAGCUAACAAGAAAAUUUGCUGCUAGCACAAUCUGUCACAUUAUAAUCUUAGUUUUGUUUGUAAGAAAAGAAAAAUUAAACACUUGGUUUGAUAGUAAGGGUAACUCUUCAGCUUGUGCUGUAUCUUGACCUCUGCUGUCAACUACCAAGAUUUACUGGUGAUUCUUUUUGGUCCCUAAUUCACUGAUACAUCUUUGGCCCGCCCAUUUUGCACUAUUUGAAAAACUUCACUUUUCCCUCUAUUUCCAGCUUAAAGACUAUAUGCUAUUCUGUUGUAACAAUAUUAAUAAUCAUGAGUUGUAUUUAUGCAUCACAGAUCAUAUCAUAAAUGUGAAGGGGGAGAAAAAAAAAAGAGAGAUUAUAUAAUUACAUAUGCAAUAUAAUGUACUAAGGGUACUUUUUGUGAUAUAAUUCGACUACUGAAUAAAAGGGGGUAGGUUGCAGAUUUUAUUUGUAAAUCUAACAUAGUUACUAAGAAACUGUUCUUGUAGACUGUCCUCAAUGGAGGCUUCAUUCAAGAAAAAAGUUGAAUAGAGAUUUGGUCCUCCUUAGUGCUUUUUAGCUCCUACUUCUCCUUUUGCUAUCAAAGCUAUGAAGUAGUGGUGUAGACUCCUUCAUUGGCACAUGGGGACAAGAGGGUCUACGUGAUUCAGCUGCGGUGCCACCGCCUCUAAGGGACUGAAUUAUGUCCUCAAAGAGGAACUCAUCACAAGGUGUAAACUUUCAGGUAUCCAUCAACUAAGAGCCAACAACUAAUUACCUUUCGGGAAGUAUGGACUAACCAUGAAAGUUGCUGAAUUAUUAAACUAAUAACACACAAAUUCAAUUUGAAGAUGUAAGUUCCUCUUUAACAUAUAAUUUCACAAGUUCUAUUUUUUGAGUAGUUCUUAUAUUAAUCCUUGUUAGUUAUUUGUGGUUAAAUUAUUGACUUUGAAAUGAACCUUAAGAACCCAAACUAUAAAUUUAACCACUAAUAAGGAUUAAUAUAAUUGUAUAGUCAUGAAAAAUUUUUGCAUUAUUAAUAUCUUAUUAAAUCCUAUAAAUUUGAAUAUAUAUUAGAAGAGAAUAACUAUGCUUAUAUAAUAAAAAAUGAUCAAUGCUGUAAAGGUAAUUGCCGACUAAUAGGGACCGAGGAAACGUGAUCUAUGUUUUGCACCUAAUCAAUAACAUUGUUUCAAACAGUAACUGACAAAUACAAGGAUUAUGUUUUGCACCUAAUCUAUGUCAUUAUUUUUUUUUCAUAAACUAGUACACAAUAAACCUAAAUGUACUGUUUAAAUCACAAGGAUUAUCCCAAAACGAAAUGGAAAAGUAUACGGAAAUGGCACCAAUUCCAGGAAAACGUACCAUUAGUGUUGUUAGUUCAGAGUUGGUGUGCUUCUUUUUCUCUGUGUCUCAUGUGUCCUCACAUGUUAUUGUUAAAUUUUAAUGCAUUGGGACCGACAAUAUAACACAACCUCAUGUUUCAGUAAGAAUCAUCAUUCGCCAAAUUUAUUUUCAUCACUUUGGAGGCCUCUUGCCAUUGUAUUUGUAUAUUGCAUCAUAUAUCAUAUAUCAUAUAUAACGAUUCAUUUAAGUAGUGUUUGUUUUUAGAAACUGAAGUUAAAAUUGGGAGAUUGAGGUUAGUAUU